GAUGAACGCUGGCGGCGUGCCUAAUACAUGCAAGUCGAGCGAACAGACGAGGAGCUUGCUCCUCUGACGUUAGCGGCGGACGGGUGAGUAACACGUGGAUAACCUACCUAUAAGACUGGGAUAACUUCGGGAAACCGGAGCUAAUACCGGAUAACAUGUUGAACCGCAUGGUUCAACAGUGAAAGACGGUCUUGCUGUCACUUAUAGAUGGAUCCGCGCCGCAUUAGCUAGUUGGUAAGGUAACGGCUUACCAAGGCAACGAUGCGUAGCCGACCUGAGAGGGUGAUCGGCCACACUGGAACUGAGACACGGUCCAGACUCCUACGGGAGGCAGCAGUAGGGAAUCUUCCGCAAUGGGCGAAAGCCUGACGGAGCAACGCCGCGUGAGUGAAGAAGGUCUUCGGAUCGUAAAACUCUGUUAUUAGGGAAGAACAACUGUGUAAGUAACUAUGCACGUCUUGACGGUACCUAAUCAGAAAGCCACGGCUAACUACGUG
rnacentral:rRNA from 1 species